ACACUCCUACGGGAGGCAGCAGUGGGGAAUCUUGCGCAAUGGGCGAAAGCCUGACGCAGCCAUGCCGCGUGAAUGAUGAAGGUCUUAGGAUUGUAAAAUUCUUUCACCGGGGACGAUAAUGACGGUACCCGGAGAAGAAGCCCCGGCUAACUUCGUGCCAGCAGCCGCUGUAAUACGAAGGGGGCUAGCGUUGCUCGGAAUUACUGGGCGUAAAGGGAGCGUAGGCGGACAUUUAAGUCAGGGGUGAAAUCCCGGGGCUCAACCUCGGAAUUGCCUUUGAUACUGGGUGUCUUGAGUAUGAGAGAGGUGUGUGGAACUCCGAGUGUAGAGGUGAAAUUCGUAGAUAUUCGGAAGAACACCAGUGGCGAAGGCGACACACUGGCUCAUUACUGACGCUGAGGCUCGAAAGCGUGGGGAGCAAACAGGAUUAGAUACCCCUGUAGUCCCAUGAU
rnacentral:rRNA from 1 species